UACAGAGGGUGCGAGCGUUAAUCGGAAUUACUGGGCGUAAAGGGCGCGUAGGCGGUGCAUCAAGUCAGGCGUGAAAGCCCCGGGCUCAACCUGGGAACCGCGCUUGAGACUGGUGCGCUCGAGUUCGGGAGAGGAUGGUGGAAUUCCCAGUGUAGAGGUGAAAUUCGUAGAUAUUGGGAAGAACACCGAUGGCGAAGGCAGCCAUCUGGACCGACACUGACGCUGAGGCGCGAAAGCCAGGGGAGCGAACGGG
rnacentral:rRNA from 1 species